GCUCCCCGCAGCAGGGUCCCCGGCCCCGCGGCCCGUCGCCCCCGCCGCCCUGCCCCCCGCUGGUCGCCGGGCCGGGGAUCGCCGCCCGGGCUCGCUCCGUCGGUACCUUCAUGAAGGUCUCUACCGCGCCUUUGGCCGUGUCCAGGGAUUCCUAAAAUAAACAAUCCUUCCAGCUGAAGAAGAGAAACUAUGAAUGUGAUCACCAGUAUAUUUAACAGGGUUCUGAGGGUCAAGAGUCUGGAGCGGCUUACCUGUGUGGUUCUGGCCAAGGGUCUCCCAAGCUGCUGGCCGGGGCUGCAGUCAUCAAAGUUUCAACAGGGGCUGGAGGAUCUCCAUCAAGUUCACUCAUGUGGUGGUUUGCAGGCCUCAGUCCUGACCAUGUGGGCUUCUCUAUGAGGCUCCUUGUCACAGAAGCUGACUUCCCCCAAAGCAAAUGAUCCAAGAGAGAGAGAACAAACAACCAAGACGGAAGCUGCAGGAUUUUCUAAUGCCCUAAUCUCAGCAGUGAUACACCAUCCCUUCUGCCAUAUUUUACCACACACGGAGGCCAAGAUGGACAUGCUAUGGGAGUGGACCACACGAGAGCAUGGACACCAGGAGGCAGAGGUCACCGGAGGCUUCCUUGGAGGCUACUGACCACUGUGCCCAUAAUGAAAAGAAGGCACUUUCAAACUUGAAGGGAGUUGUGUGUGUGUCUGUGUGUGCGUGUGUGUGUGAAUGGUUUGUUUGUUUUCUUACCAAGGGACUAUUGACAAGGAUGUAGGCAGGAUGUGGGGGACCACAAAGGAGUAAUACAACUUCCCAGAGCAAGCAGCAGUACAGCUAUUACCACCCCUGAGCCCAAAAGGACAAGAGAAGAGGGAGGAACCCUGGAACCCUAAAAGAGAGUCAUGAUGAGCAGCCCACCUUGAGAGGUGUGGAGUCAUUCUUCUAUAGGGACAGCCAGCAAGUGAUACGCUAGACCAGCUCAUAGAAUACGUGGCAAGUGUCUUCUGUCUCUGCAUCCGAUGAUGUCACGGUGGUAGCCUGGGAUCAGUCAUGGCAGGAGUGUUUGCUUCAUGGUGGGAGUAUUUGCAAAUGCUACAAACCAGGACUUUUUGUGCAGAGAUCCUGUUGUUAAACAUUCGUUAGCACACCACCGGACACAGCCAGCUUGAGGCAACCUCUCAGGAUGGGAGCUACGAGAAUUCGCACCCAGCUCUCCUUCUCUCUAGGGUCAAGGGAGGACCAAACUCAACUGGAAGCCAGAGAACAUAGGAGCCUCCCGAUAUGUUCUAGACAAGCCGUCCCUUGGGGAAGACAGCAGGAUCCGGAGAGUGAGAGCGGAUCCAGCCUAGGAAGGAUGCUGUGCGGAUGGCGAUUCAGUUCACAGAAAGAAAUACAGACAAAGUAUCAUUUGUCACAAGACCUAUUAAUUAUACUUUCCCAUCCAUUCUUAUGACUCUUGAUUUCCCACAUCAAUGGAGGUGACUUUGACAGAUAACUUGAAAACACUGGAUUUUCUAUUAGAGUCAGUGGAUGAGAUGGGUUUUUUUGAUAAACAAAAUAAACUGACUGGCUGAGUGAAGAGAGCUUAUUAAAAAGAUUCAGAAGAACUCACAGAAUCAAAGAAGUCAUGAGGAACAAGGCUCAGAAAGAGUGGGACCAGGGCAGCCCCAGAUAAUCAAGUGGUAGAAAGCAAUCAAUGACCCCCUCAGAG